AUACGUUGAUGUCUGGUUGAGUCUUUCCCAUUCGUCUGUUGGCAUCUGGUCGUGGUUUCUGUUCCCAUUCAUCAUCUUUCGAUGUCUGGUCGUGGUUUCUUUCUCCCAUUCAUCCGUUGAUGUCUGGUUGAGUCUUUCCCAUUCGUCCGUUGGCGACUGGUCGUGGUUUCUUUCUCCCAUUCAUCCGUUGAUGUCUGGUUGAGUCUUUCCCCUUCGUCCGUUGGCGUCUGGUCCUGGUUUCUCUUCGCAUUCAUCAUAUUUCGAUGUUUG
rnacentral:lncRNA from 1 species